rnacentral:rRNA from 1 species
AUUGAACGCUGGAGGCAGGCUUAACACAUGCAAGUCGAGCGGGGUGAUGGUGCUUGCACUAUCACUUAGCGGCGGACGGGUGAGUAAUGCUUAGGAAUCUGCCUAUUAGUGGGGGACAACAUCUCGAAAGGGAUGCUAAUACCGCAUACGUCUUAGGGGAGAAAGCAGGGGAUCACUUGUGACAUUGCGCUAAUAGAUGAGCCUAAGUCGGAUUAGCUAGUUGGUGGGGUAAAGGCCUACCAAGGCGACGAUCUGUAGCGGCUCUGAGAGGAUGAUCCGCCACACUGGGACUGAGACGCGGCCCAGACUCCUACGGGAGGCAGCAGUGGGGAAUAUUGGACAAUGGGGGGAACCCUGAUCCAGCCAUGCCGCGUGUGUGAAGAAGGCCUUAUGGUUGUAAAGCACUUUAAGCGAGGAGGAGGCUCUUUUGGUUAAUACCCAAGAUGAGUGGACGUUACUCGCAGAAUAAGCACCGGCUAACUCUGUGCCAGCCGCCGCCGUAA